UGAGGAAUAUUGGUCAAUGGGCGAGAGCCUGAACCAGCCAAGUAGCGUGCAGGAUGACGGCCCUAUGGGUUGUAAACUGCUUUUAUGUGGGGAUAAAGUGCGUGACGUGUCAUGCAUUGCAGGUACCACAUGAAUAAGGACCGGCUAAUUCCGUGCCAGCAGCCGCGGUAAUACGGAAGGUCCGGGCGUUAUCCGGAUUUAUUGGGUUUAAAGGGAGCGUAGGCUGUCUAUUAAGCGUGUUGUGAAAUAUACCGGCUCAACCGGUGGCUUGCAGCGCGAACUGGUCGACUUGAGUAUGCAGGAAGUAGGCGGAAUUCAUGGUGUAGCGGUGAAAUGCUUAGAUAUCAUGACGAACUCCGAUUGCGCAGGCAGCUCACUGUAGCAUAACUGACGCUGAUGCUCGAAAGUGCGGGUAUCAAACAGG
rnacentral:rRNA from 1 species